rnacentral:rRNA from 1 species
GAUUAAGUUAUUAAGGGCGCACGGUGGAUGCCUUGGCACUAGAAGCCGAUGAAGGACGUUACUAACGACGAUAUGCUUUGGGGAGCUGUAAGUAAGCUUUGAUCCAGAGAUUUCCGAAUGGGGAAACCCAGCAUGAGUUAUGUCAUGUUAUCGAUAUGUGAAUACAUAGCAUAUCAGAAGGCACACCCGGAGAACUGAAACAUCUUAGUACCCGGAGGAAGAGAAAGAAAAUUCGAUUCCCUUAGUAGCGGCGAGCGAAACGGGAAGAGCCCAAACCAACAAGCUUGCUUGUUGGGGUUGUAGGACACUCUAUACGGAGUUACAAAGGACGACAUUAGACGAAUCAUCUGGAAAGAUGAAUCAAAGAAGGUAAUAAUCCUGUAGUCGAAAAUGUUGUCUCUCUUGAGUGGAUCCUGAGUACGACGGAGCACGUGAAAUUCCGUCGGAAUUUGGGAGGACCAUCUCCUAAGGCUAAAUACUCUCUAGUGACCGAUAGCGAACCAGUACCGUGAGGGAAAGGUGAAAAGCACCCCGGAAGGGGAGUGAAAUAGAACCUGAAACCGUGUGCUUACAAGUAGUCAGAGCCCGUUAAUGGGUGAUGGCGUGCCUUUUGUAGAAUGAACCGGCGAGUUACGAUUUGAUGCAAGGUUAAGCAGUAAAUGUGGAGCCGUAGCGAAAGCGAGUCUGAAUAGGGCGUUUAGUAUUUGGUCGUAGACCCGAAACCAGGUGAUCUACCCUUCGUCAGGUUGAAGUUCAGGUAACACUGAAUGGAGGACCGAACCGACUUACGUUGAAAAGUGAGCGGAUGAACUGAGGGUAGCGGAGAAAUUCCAAUCGAACCUGGAGAUAGCUGGUUCUCUCCGAAAUAGCUUUAGGGCUAGCCUCAAGUGAUGAUUAUUGGAGGUAGAGCACUGUUUGGACGAGGGGCCCCUCUCGGGUUACCGAAUUCAGACAAACUCCGAAUGCCAAUUAAUUUAACUUGGGAGUCAGAACAUGGGUGAUAAGGUCCGUGUUCGAAAGGGAAACAGCCCAGACCACCAGCUAAGGUCCCAAAAUAUAUGUUAAGUGGAAAAGGAUGUGGCGUUGCCCAGACAACUAGGAUGUUGGCUUAGAAGCAGCCAUCAUUUAAAGAGUGCGUAAUAGCUCACUAGUCGAGUGACACUGCGCCGAAAAUGUACCGGGGCUAAACAUAUUACCGAAGCUGUGGAUUGUCCUUUGGACAAUGGUAGGAGAGCGUUCUAAGGGCGUUGAAGCAUGAUCGUAAGGACAUGUGGAGCGCUUAGAAGUGAGAAUGCCGGUGUGAGUAGCGAAAGACGGGUGAGAAUCCCGUCCACCGAUUGACUAAGGUUUCCAGAGGAAGGCUCGUCCGCUCUGGGUUAGUCGGGUCCUAAGCUGAGGCCGAUAGGCGUAGGCGAUGGAUAACAGGUUGAUAUUCCUGUACCACCUAUAAUCGUUUUAAUCGAUGGGGGGACGCAGUAGGAUAGGCGAAGCGUGCGAUUGGAUUGCACGUCUAAGCAGUAAGGCUGAGUAUUAGGCAAAUCCGGUACUCAUUAAGGCUGAGCUGUGAUGGGGAGAAGACAUUGUGUCUUCGAGUCGUUGAUUUCACACUGCCGAGAAAAGCCUCUAGAUAGAAAAUAGGUGCCCGUACCGCAAACCGACACAGGUAGUCAAGAUGAGAAUUCUAAGGUGAGCGAGCGAACUCUCGUUAAGGAACUCGGCAAAAUGACCCCGUAACUUCGGGAGAAGGGGUGCUCUUUAGGGUUAACGCCCAGAAGAGCCGCAGUGAAUAGGCCCAAGCGACUGUUUAUCAAAAACACAGGUCUCUGCUAAACCGUAAGGUGAUGUAUAGGGGCUGACGCCUGCCCGGUGCUGGAAGGUUAAGAGGAGUGGUUAGCUUCUGCGAAGCUACGAAUCGAAGCCCCAGUAAACGGCGGCCGUAACUAUAACGGUCCUAAGGUAGCGAAAUUCCUUGUCGGGUAAGUUCCGACCCGCACGAAAGGCGUAACGAUUUGGGCACUGUCUCAACGAGAGACUCGGUGAAAUCAUAGUACCUGUGAAGAUGCAGGUUACCCGCGACAGGACGGAAAGACCCCGUGGAGCUUUACUGUAGCCUGAUAUUGAAAUUCGGCACAGCUUGUACAGGAUAGGUAGGAGCCUUUGAAACGUGAGCGCUAGCUUACGUGGAGGCGCUGGUGGGAUACUACCCUAGCUGUGUUGGCUUUCUAACCCGCACCACUUAUCGUGGUGGGAGACAGUGUCAGGCGGGCAGUUUGACUGGGGCGGUCGCCUCCUAAAAGGUAACGGAGGCGCUCAAAGGUUCCCUCAGAAUGGUUGGAAAUCAUUCAUAGAGUGUAAAGGCAUAAGGGAGCUUGACUGCGAGACCUACAAGUCGAGCAGGGUCGAAAGACGGACUUAGUGAUCCGGUGGUUCCGCAUGGAAGGGCCAUCGCUCAACGGAUAAAAGCUACCCCGGGGAUAACAGGCUUAUCUCCCCCAAGAGUUCACAUCGACGGGGAGGUUUGGCACCUCGAUGUCGGCUCAUCGCAUCCUGGGGCUGUAGUCGGUCCCAAGGGUUGGGCUGUUCGCCCAUUAAAGCGGUACGCGAGCUGGGUUCAGAACGUCGUGAGACAGUUCGGUCCCUAUCCGUCGUGGGCGUAGGAAAUUUGAGAGGAGCUGUCCUUAGUACGAGAGGACCGGGAUGGACAUACCUCUGGUGUACCAGUUGUCGUGCCAACGGCAUAGCUGGGUAGCUAUGUGUGGACGGGAUAAGUGCUGAAAGCAUCUAAGCAUGAAGCCCCCCUCAAGAUGAGAUUUCCCAACUUCGGUUAUAAGAUCCCUCAAAGAUGAUGAGGUUAAUAGGUUCGAGGUGGAAGCAUGGUGACAUGUGGAGCUGACGAAUACUAAUCGAUCGAAGACUUAAUCAA